rnacentral:rRNA from 1 species
AACGAACGCUGGCGGCAGGCCUAACACAUGCAAGUCGAGCGCACCCUUCGGGGUUAGCGGCGGACGGGUGAGUAACGCGUGGGAACGUGCCCUUCUCUGCGGAAUAGCCUCGGGAAACUGAGAGUAAUACCGCAUACGCCCUUUGGGGGAAAGAUUUAUCGGGGAAGGAUCGGCCCGCGUUGGAUUAGGUAGUUGGUGGGGUAAUGGCCCACCAAGCCGACGAUCCAUAGCUGGUUUGAGAGGAUGAUCAGCCACACUGGGACUGAGACACGGCCCAGACUCCUACGGGAGGCAGCAGUGGGGAAUCUUAGACAAUGGGGGCAACCCUGAUCUAGCCAUGCCGGGUGAGUGAUGAAGGCCUUAGGGUUGUAAAGCUCUUUCAGCUGGGAAGAUAAUGACGGUACCAGCAGAAGAAGCCCCGGCUAACUCCGUG